rnacentral:rRNA from 1 species
UGGGGAAUAUUGCGCAAUGGGCGAAAGCUGACGCAGCGACGCCGCGUGGAGGAUGAAGGUCUUCGGAUUGUAAACUUCUGUUAAGCGGGAAGCGGUACCGCUAGAGAAAGCACUGGCUAACUUCGUGCCAGCAGCCGCGGUAAUACGAAGGGUGCAAGCGUUAUUCGGAAUGACUGGGCGUAAAGGGUGUGUAGGCGGCGUGUUAAGCUUGCUGUUAAAUUCUCCGGCCUAACUGGAGGUAUGCAGUGAGAACUGGCGCGCUUGAGGAUGAGAGAGAGAAGUGGAAUUCCCGGAGUAGCGGUAAAAUGCGUAGAUCUCGGGAGGAACACCGAUGGCGAAGGCAGCUUCUUGGCUCAUCCUGACGCUGAAACACGAAAGCGUGGGGAGCAAACAGGAUUAGAUACCGGGUAGU